GCGGGAGUGGCGCAGUGGUAGCGCAUCUGCCUUCCAAGCAGACUGUCGCGGGUUCGAAUCCCGUCUCCCGCU
rnacentral:tRNA from 1 species